AGCGGCGGAUGGGUGAGUAACACGUGGGGAACCUGCCCCUAAGUCUGGGAUACCAUUUGGAAACAGGUGCUAAUACCGGAUAAUAAAGCAGAUCGCAUGAUCAGCUUUUGAAAGGCGGCGUAAGCUGUCGCUAAGGGAUGGCCCCGCGGUGCAUUAGCUAGUUGGUAAGGUAACGGCUUACCAAGGCGACGAUGCAUAGCCGAGUUGAGAGACUGAUCGGCCACAUUGGGACUGAGACACGGCCCAAACUCCUACGGGAGGCAGCAGUAGGGAGUCUUCCACAAUGGACGCAAGUCUGAUGGAGCAGCGCCGCGUGAGUGAAGAAGGUUUUCGGAUCGUAAAGCUCUGUUGUUGGUGAAGAAGGAUAGAGGUAGUAACUGGCCUUUAUUUGACGGUAAUCAACCAGAAAGUCACGGCUAACUACGUGCCAGCAGCCGCGGUAAUACGUAGGUGGCAAGCGUUGUCCGGAUUUAUUGGGCGUAAAGCGAGCGCAGGCGGAAAAAUAAGUCUAAUGUGAAAGCCCUCGGCUUAACCGAGAAACUGCAUCGGAAACUGUUUUUCUUGAGUGCAGAAGAGGAGAGUGGAACUCCAUGUGUAGCGGUGGAAUGCGUAGAUAUAUGGAAGAACACCAGUGGCGAAGGCGGCUCUCUGGUCUGCAACUGACGCUGAGGCUCGAAAGCAUGGGUAGCGAACAGGGUUAGAUACCCUGGUAGUCCAUGCCGUAAACGAUGAGUGCUAAGUGU
rnacentral:rRNA from 1 species